GAAUUUUGGACAAUGGGCGAAAGCCUGAUCCAGCAAUGCCGCGUGCAGGAUGAAGGCCUUCGGGUUGUAAACUGCUUUUGUAAGGAACGAAAAGCUUUGGGUUAAUACCCUGGAGUCAUGACGGUACCGUACGAAUCAGCACCCGAUAACUACUUUCCAUCUGCCGCGGUAAUUCGUACGGUGCAAACGUUAAUCGGUAUUACUUGGCGUAAAGCGUGCGCAGGCGGUUUUGUAAGACAGAGGUGAAAUCCCCGGGCUCAACCUGGGAACUGCCUUUGUGACUGCAAGGCUAGAGUACGGCAGAGGGGGGUGGCAUUCCGCGUGUAGCAGUGAAAUGCGUAGAUAUGCGGAGGAACACCGAUGGCGAAGGCAACCCCCUGGGCCUGUACUGACGCUCAUGCACGAAAGCGUGGGGAGCAAACA
rnacentral:rRNA from 1 species